rnacentral:rRNA from 1 species
UGUGAAGGAAUAAGCGCUGAACGACUCUAUGUUUGCCGCCCACCCAAAGAUGAGAUUGCCCAUUUCUUUAAGAAAGUAAGAUCCCUGAGAGAUGAUCAGGUAGAUAGGUCAGGAGUGGAAGUACAGUGAUGUAUGGAGCGGACUGAUACUAAUCGAUCGAGGACUUAACCAA